GUUUAAUCUCCACUGGCAGUUUGUUCCACUUGUUUGCAGUGUAACAGCUAAAUGCUGGUUCUCCUUGUCUGGACACUAGCUGACCUGAGUCCUUGGAUCUAAGAGACUGCUCGUUUGAUCAAGUACUCAUCGGAUGAAAAAACGAGAUCCAUAGAAUCUCCACCCUGGAACCCACAGUACUCCACGGAUCCAUGUCCCGACUCUUCAGAACUGUUUUGGCAGCACAAGGUGAAUCUACACAAUAUUAGCGCUGAACGGCCAAGUGUGACUUGUGGAGUUGCUGUUGAGGAAGGAAGGACUCAUCUGGAGACAGAAUCACAAACGCGUCAGAGAAUCAGUCGCAGUUGCAUUUAUCAUUUCCAACCCCUGCACCCGAAGACUGUGCAACUUAAUGUGGAAGAGAACACAGAUUCCAUGUGUGAAAUAUUGGAUAUACGUACGGAACUCAGGCGAAUCCCAUGCUCGCUUAACCUCGCCAUGUCUUGCAGCUGAGUAUUCGGCGUCCUGUGCCGUGGCUCUGUUGCGCGCAGGUACGUUCAGAGCAGUGGGCGCGUCCUGUGGGUGCCGGAGGAAGUAUGUUGAAAACACAGCUCACACUGAAGAAUAUCCCUGUUUUGCUGAGUCCUGUAAUCAUUAGGAGGUCAGGUGAGUAGCCUGUGUGUCAGGGAGGGGGUUGGUUGAUUGACUAACUGACUGACUGACUGAUUGAUUAAUCUAUCAUGUAAGAGGUACACAAAGAUGCAAAUUAUAUAAUGUGCAUACUUUUACAUUUGGCACUAUCUAUACAGUACUUCUCCAUUGUUUGAGGUUGUUUUCUUUGUAUAACAAAGAUAAUUUCAUAGUUUGCGCAACUGCUUGUGUGUUUCAAGGCCUAUCUAGUUUCAAAAUAAAUUAUUUAUAGUUUCAAGUCUAUUAGAUAUGAGUUAUGUGAAUAUAUUAAGCUGUAAUAUGAAGUUAAAAUACAGGAAGGAUUAAUCCAUGAAUGAACUCUUCUCAGAAACUUACUGUACAGUGUUUCACAGACUAAUUCAAUCAGGCCUUUACAUGUUAAUUUAAUGUUGUAAAUCUGAGUUAUUUCACUGUUAUAUUUUAAUGUUUUCUUCUCUAUUCUUUUUACAAAAUAAUGUUUUUUGUGUUGUGAAAGCGCUUGUUCUACUGUAACCAUCUACACAUUAAUAACUGCUUUUCAUUUGCUGCUUGAAUCAGUGUGCCACAAAUGGCAAGUAAAACUAAAUAUUUGAGGUUCAGCAGGAUAUGGCAACCCAUUUCUGUUGACAUUGUUUUUUUCUCCAUUGAUCACAUUCAUGGCUUUACAGGACAAGACAGAUACAGGACAACAGUAAGUACGCUGAAACGAAGAGAGUAGGGUCACUGGGUUUAACAUCUGUUUUGAGGGACAAAGUCAAAACAUGGGUGAGGGUCUCAACAACAGAGACAAUUCCUACUUUUACAAUACUGGACCUUAUUUCAUCAUGAUCUGCAAAGUAGACUUCCAUUUUCAGUGUAGUCUCAUUCUAUGGAGGUACAAAGAACAAACAUACUUUUGCAAGAAUCCUGUUUCUUUGUUUUCACAAAGAGGGAAUGUCAAUUUUGCUUAUAUUUUCUGAGGAUGGACAAAUAUUUACAAAGGAACUCAUUGAACCAGUUUGUUAUACAAGAAGGGGUUAAAUUUCUUACACUGUUCAUAACUGAGAUGGAAUAGGUAUGUAGACCUAUUUCCACCACAACAAAUCCAAUAUUAACAAUGAAAAAUCCAAUUGGGAGACAAUUAUCCAUUUGUGAAGUAAAAAAAAAAAGUUUCAAACUCAUGUUUUUUGAUUUCUUUUGAUGGUUUCAUUUGAACAAGGAACAACAACGUGACACCAAGAAAACUGUUCUUUGUGAAAUUCUUUCAUUUUUAAAGACAGAACAGAAAAUCUUAUUUCAAAAGUUACUUAAUGUCUCAUCAACACGUUUUCCCUUCUAACUGCAUGUCAUUUACGAAGUGUGUUUUAAACAAUAGACCAGCAUUUCUGCAUUACUGUGUGUGUGUGUGUGGGGGGGGGGGGGGGGUAAUUAUAGGGGUUGUGGGGACCUAAUGGCUAAGGGUUAGGGUUAGAUAUGAAUGGGAGUCAAUGGUAGGUCCCCACAAGGAUAGAAUACACAGUGUGUCUGUGUGUGUGUGUGUGUGUGUGUGUGUGUG